ACAUCAUCUCAUGAGACAAGUGAAGCAAGCAGAUGACUGCAUUCUUGGUAACACCUUUCCCCAUGAACGACAAGGAGUUGCCACCCCACUCAACAUAAAAGGAGGAUAUCACCUGGGUAGAUAACAGAAUAUUUGGAUGUGUGGUUGCACAUAUGAGCAGAUGAAGAGAGAGAGGAGCCCAAGGCUUGCUGAGAUUUGGGCCUCUACUUUGCCAGGAGGAGGUGGGGGAGGAGUCAACGACAGAGCCUUUGUGAUCUAUAGCAGGCAUUCUCGUAUCUGAUGAGAGGGAAGAAGUUUCGGCACUUGCCAAUGCAGCGCACGAGCAUAUGCGCACACACUGUGCAGACACAGAACUUGAUACACAUGCCACAUGCAAACACAAACUGAGGACAA